rnacentral:rRNA from 1 species
CUUGCUGGGUGGAUCAGUGGCGAACGGGUGAGUAACACGUGAGCAACCUGCCCCCUACUUCGGGAUAAGCCUUGGAAACGAGGUCUAAUACCGGAUAUGAACACUUGUCGCAUGGCGGGUGUUGGAAAGUUUUUCGGUGGGGGAUGGGCUCGCGGCCUAUCAGCUUGUUGGUGGGGUAAUGGCCUACCAAGGCGUCGACGGGUAGCCGGCCUGAGAGGGCGACCGGCCACACUGGGACUGAGACACGGCCCAGACUCCUACGGGAGGCAGCAGUGGGGAAUAUUGCACAAUGGGCGAAAGCCUGAUGCAGCGACGCCACGUGAGGGAUGACGGCCUUCGGGUUGUAAACCUCUUUCAGCAGGGAAGAAGCGAAAGUGACGGUACCUGCAGAAGAAGCGCCGGCUAACUACGUGCCAGCAGCCGCGGUAAUACGUAGGGCGCAAGCGUUGUCCGGAAUUAUUGGGCGUAAAGAGCUCGUAGGCGGUCUGUCGCGUCUGGUGUGAAAUCCCAUGGCUCAACUGUGGGCUUGCAUCGGGUACGGGCAGACUAGAGUGCUGUAG